rnacentral:rRNA from 1 species
GACGAACGCUGGCGGCGUGCCUAAUACAUGCAAGUUGAGCGCUGAAGGUUGGUACUUGUACCGACUGGAUGAGCAGCGAACGGGUGAGUAACGCGUGGGGAAUCUGCCUUUGAGCGGGGGACAACAUUUGGAAACGAAUGCUAAUACCGCAUAAAAACUUUAAACACAAGUCUUAAGUUUGAAAGAUGCAAUUGCAUCACUCAAAGAUGAUCCCGCGUUGUAUUAGCUAGUUGGUGAGGUAAAGGCUCACCAAGGCGAUGAUACAUAGCCGACCUGAGAGGGUGAUCGGCCACAUUGGGACUGAGACACGGCCCAAACUCCUACGGGAGGCAGCAGUAGGGAAUCUUCGGCAAUGGACGAAAGUCUGACCGAGCAACGCCGCGUGAGUGAAGAAGGUUUUCGGAUCGUAAAACUCUGUUGGUAGAGAAGAACGUUGGUGAGAGUGGAAAGCUCAUCAAGUGACGGUAACUACCCAGAAAGGGACGGCUAACUACGUG